UACGAGGGGGGCGAGCGUUGUUCGGAAUUAUUGGGCGUAAAGGGUGCGUAGGCGGUUUUGUAAGUCUUAUGUGGAAUCUAUGGGCUCAACUCAUAGACUGCAUGAGAAACUGCAGGGCUUGAGUAUGGGAGAGGUGAGUGGAAUUCCUGGUGUAGCGGUGAAAUGCGUAGAGAUCUGGAGGAAUACCGAUGGCGAAGGCAGCCAUCUGGCCUAACACUGACGCUGAGGUGCGAAAGCAUGGGGAGCAAACAGG
rnacentral:rRNA from 1 species